GUAGAAGCAGCAACCACCCACAGCAGCAGCAGCAACGGCAGUGGCAGUGGCAGCGCCAGCAGCACGUGCCCCCCGCCAGCGUCAACAAACAACAUCCUACAAUCAACAUCUUUCCGAGUACUCCCCGCCAAGGUGUGCGUGUGGUCUUUGCACUACAAUUUCCAUGCCCCCUCCAUAGAACUUUUUUUCAAAGUGCUUUCGUUUUUUUUUUGUUUUUUUUUUUGUCGCGUGUUGAGUGUCGAAGGUGCUUCAGAAAAACUACGGCAAGAAAAAAAAGUGUUUAAAAAUCUCAGGCAAAGCAAAUCAAAGUGCACCACCGAAGGGGGAAGAGCCGAAAGUGCGAUCCCCAUCGAAACUCUACAAAAAAAUGGAACCCAAAAAGUCAUACUCUACUCGAACUGAAACUUCAGAGCGACUAAGCGACUAAAACCAACCAAAACAGAACGUGGACUCGAGAACAGCAUUUUAAGAUAAAUACAUAAAACGUAACAAAUUCAAAAGAAGACAGAACCGAAACAAGACAACACAAAAAAAUUUAUUAAAAAAUUACAAAAAAAUUCAACACAAGUAAAAGCUGAAGCUAAAAAGCAAUUAAAACAAAUUGUGCCGUAAGUCAGGUUGGUGGGCGAACGGCCCGGGCCCCCCAACUCCCGUUCCAACAAAAACAACAACAAAAACAACACUCCACCUAAAGCAACAGCAACAAAGAAACAGAAACUGAAACUGAAACUCUCCACCGCACAAAAAGGUAAGCGAAAUUCAGAACGGUAAAAGGGAAUUAUUUAAUUAAUAUUUCAUAAAAUACAAUCAAAAUGAAACUCUCUGAAUGGUAGAGUCUCUUGCCACGUUGCCACCUGCAUACUUUAAGGGUGAAACGAAACGAAACAUAAAUAAAUACAUAUUAUACCAUAUUAUUACAUAUAGGACUCGUUGUCCUGCUAUUCCCACUUGAAGCCGCAUAUCAUUUUGCACUCGAUUGCAUUUGAUUCGAUUUCCGUUGAAAAUUAUGCGUACAAAAAAUGAAAAAGGAACAAUAUGAAAAAAAAAACAAGAAAAAUGAUGCCAGCAAUUUAGCAAUAU
rnacentral:sRNA from 1 species